GCUUUUUGGUGUCCUUGAGUUUGGCUUGGGAUGCCUUGGGCAUCCCCAAGCUUGAGCUCUUUCCACUCCUUAUCUCUUUGUCCAUGAGAACAUCACCCAAAACUUGAAAACUUCACAACACAAAACUUAAACAGAAACUCGUGAUAUCAUUAGCACAAGAAAACAAACUACCACCUCCUUUGGUACCGUAGAAAACUUGAAUUCUAUCUACAUUUGUGUUGGGCUACUGUAUUGUCACUUUCCCAUGGCUAGUACCCCCCUAUACUAACCAUAGUUUCAUCAAAACAAGCAACCAACUCAACAAAAACAGAAUCUGUCAAAAACAGACCAGUGUGUAGCAAUCUGUAUACUACGUAUACUUCUGCUACCUCCAAAAUUCUGAACAAUUACGACUGCCUGGGAAAAAGGCAUAUCAACCAUCAUCAAAAAGAAUCAACUCAAAAACUCUUUCUGAAUAAAAAUUAAAAAUCAUCUCAUGAGCGAAAAGUUUCUGUCUUUUUCCAGCAGGAUCAAACAACCAUUACCAAGACUAGUCAUAAAGGUUUUGCUUGGC
rnacentral:lncRNA from 1 species